GCCUGGGUGGCUCAGUCGGUUAAGCGUCUGACUUCGGCUCAGAUCAUGAUCUCACGGUCCGUGAGUUCGAGCCCCGCGUCGGGCU
rnacentral:tRNA from 1 species